UACGUAGGGUGCGAGCGUUGUCCGGAAUUAUUGGGCGUAAAGGGCUCGUAGGCGGUUUGUCGCGUCGGGAGUGAAAACCUACAGCUUAACUGUGGGCUUGCUUUCGAUACGGGCAGACUAGAGGUAUGCAGGGGAGAGCGGAAUUCCUGGUGUAGCGGUGAAAUGCGCAGAUAUCAGGAGGAACACCGGUGGCGAAGGCGGUUCUCUGGGCAUGAUCUGACGCUGAGGAGCGAAAGUGUGGGGAGCGAACAGG
rnacentral:rRNA from 1 species